rnacentral:lncRNA from 1 species
CAAUUACCGGUAUUGUAAAUUGCGCCAUUCCUUGCUUUCCCAGUCGCUCGAUAAGUUUUUAUCUGAUAGUGUAGACCAUAGAUAUCUCAUAUACACUAGAUAGCGCAUCCCACCCUGUAGGCAGGCGAAAAUUGAAGCCUGAUCGCAGUCGCAGUUUACGUGCGGCGGCCAUAUUGGUCGUUCCCACGGGGCGUGAUAAUUUGUAUAUUUUGUAUUGCGGAAAUGGACAAAGUUGACAAUAAAUCCUCUUUUAUGCAGUCAAUUUUGGUUUUUCAAGUGUGCAACUUGUUGUAAAUGAUGCCAGAUCGUUGGAGCUUCAUAUUGUGAAUAACGGGUAGGCAGAAUUUAAUUUUUUAUUUCGAAAAUAUCAAUAUUUGUCGACCCGUAUGAAGGGCGCCCAUAGGACAAACCUUACGGACAAACCAUCAUUGUUGAUGUAUAUAUAAAUAUAGUUCCACCAAUUCUAAAUAAAACUUUUGAGCCAUCGCCAUUGCUUCAUGGCAAAAUUGUGAAUGUAUUUGCAUAUUCUUUUGUAAAAGACAGCGACACUGAAAAACAUAUUUUAGUCACAGUUUAUCAAUGGGCUAUUCCAAUUAUUAUCCGCACCCCCCCUGUUGAGGAACCUUGGAAUUUCCAGGGGAGGGGGUGUAUUAACCUUGGAAUUUCCAGGGGAGAGGAGCAUUAACUUUAAUUCCAGGGAAGGGGGCAUUCAGGCUCUGGAUUUCCAAGGGGAGGAGUAAUUCUCACAUGGAAUUUCCAAAGGGAGGGGUAACUUUGAUGGGAUGAAAUUCCAUGGGAGGACAUAUGUUAGAGGGAAAUUUCCGGGAGUAGAUGUCCCAUGAUGGAAAUUCCAUGGGGAGGGGUAAUUUACACAUGGAAAUUCCAUGGACAGGGCCAAAUUUAAAUGGAAAUUCCAUGGGGAAGGCCUAAUUUAGAAUGGAAAUUCCAUGGGGAAGGGUAAUUUUUACAAGGAAUUUCCAUGGGAAGGGGUAAAUUUUACAUGAAAAUUUGCGGAAUUCCAGGGGAAUACCGACAUAAGAAAGGGGUUCCUCAACAGGGGGGGUGCGGAUAAUAAUUGGAAUAGCCCAAUGGCAAAAAUAGACUUAAAAUCUUAAAUAGUCAAUAUAUAAAACAUUGACACCAAAAAUGGUUCUUACUCCUUACUAUUUGUAUAUUUAUUACAUACAUACAUGCAACAUAUCAUAUAUUAUUUUAUAGUUCCAUGGAAUCACAUCAAGAUUAAAAUGUGUUAGAAGCUAGAGAAGAAUAAUUGCAACUUAGUAUAUUCGCAGGCAAUAUAACAUAAUUGAUAUUGCUUUAUGUAAAUGCAGUUGAUAAUCAAACUUUCUAAAACCUUCAAUUGUAUGAAUGCUUCAAACUAUCUUUAAUAUUUGAUGUUAAGAAAUAUUUCUUUCUGUUGAGUCCUAGACCUUUUGUUUUUAAUUCAAGCAAUCAAACUGCCAAAUUACUGUAAUUAUUAACAGCUAGCAUAGGUCAUUGAUAAUCAGCUGAAUUUUAGAACUGCUUUGGGAAACCCUAUUUUGUAAUGAGACACAUUACUUCUUGCAUUAUUGUAUAUUGUAAGGUCAAUGGGAUAAACUGCUUGAUGC